CAGGAAGGCCUGUGAGGCUGCAGCCAAAUGGGCAAGGUCAGAGUGAGGAGCAGAGGCCAGAACCACAGGGAGGGAGCGGCCAGACCCUCCACGGCCUUAGGGCGUCCCUGAGAUUCCAUCAGGAAAGGGAUGUAAUCGGAUCACCCCGGGAACAGUGAGGAAAAUUGACUCCAGGAGGUCAGGGGGACUCAAGGACACCCCCCACCACUGUCUCUCUCCAGCAGAGCCCACACGAUGAAGACCCCCAGGCAGUGACGUAUGCCCCGGUGAAACACUCCAGUCCUAGGAGAGAAAUGGCCUCUCCUCCCUCCUCACUGUCUGGGGAAUUCCUGGACACAAAGGACAGACAGGUGGAAGAGGACAGGCAGAUGGACACUGAGGCUGCUGCAUCUGAAGCCUCCCAGGAUGUGACCUACGCCCAGCUGCACAGCUUGACCCUUAGACGGAAGGCAACUGAGCCUCCUCCAUCCCAGGAAGGGGAACCUCCAGCUGAGCCCAGCAUCUACGCCACUCUGGCCAUCCAC
rnacentral:lncRNA from 1 species